UGAAAAGAAAAAAAAAUGAGGCCCAAGUUUAAGAGCGUGGCCGGCCAAAUCCAUGGCCCAAACCCACAAAAAAAUUAAUGAAUUUUCCAUGUGUUAAAAUAGAUGAAAGGGACCAUAUAUUAUCACUUAUCCAUUAGAAUUUUCAAGAAACACAAAAGAUGAAGAACAAAAACAAAGGGCCAUUUCGGCCAAGACCCAUGGAAAUUGAGUACCUUAAAUCUUGUUCCAAAAAUUGUUUUCUUGUAGUAUUCCUACCAAUUCAAGUACCCUCUACAACGUGGUAUGAUUAUUUUGGAAGAUGGUUCAUCCGUUUCAUCGUUUCCGCACUUUGGUUAAGUGAAGAAGAUUGGAGAAAAAGAUUUUGGACGAAACGGGAAGUGAACUUGGAAAGGCGUAAAAAGCAUAAAAGGUACAGACGACAGAUUUGCUGACCCGCCUGCCUAGGACAUCUAUUCUGCUAUUUCGGGAGUGCUCUUUUGUCCAGAGCCUAUAUGUUGGUACAUUCUGCUGCUAUUGUAUAUAUGUAUGCUAUUCAGGGGUAUGACGGGGCCCUGUCCCGUCUUAUGAUUCUGUUAUAAUCUGUAGAGGUCUGUAGACAUACUUGUGUGGGUUUUGUAUAUGUUUUGGGAUGAUAUGAUAUGUGACAGCCUUAU